AGACCUCUAUACUGAAGUGAUUGGCCCAGGCACAAAUCCAGACCACUAUAUCAUGACUGGUGUCAAGGGAGAAGACCUUGUGACUAUGGACGAGAGCACACCAAUAACUACUUAUGACGAUUAUUUGAACUGCAACACAUCGUAUCUAGAAUUUCAACUGAAGUCUGCCACGUACUCUCGCUAGGAGGAGAAGGAAAUAGGAUUCCAGUUUGUUGCAGUUCAAAAUGACUUCUAAAGAUUUUGAAAGAGACUUUUUGGUGUUUUUACGUAUUCAAAUCAAGGCAGCAUAUCAACUGUUGAGCCAAAUUUUUAAUUAAAUAUUUGUAAAGAAUAUAUUUCUUUGAAACUUUAAUGAAAAAAAAGCAUUUAAAAAUACCAUUGUCUAAACUUUUUUAAAAACUAUAUCUUCUUGUAUAUAUUCUUGUUGAUAUAAUUCAUAAAAGUACACAGAGUCAAUGUCCCUUUUUUUUUUUGGUUCUAUUUUUAUCGACUUUUUUUUUACAUUCAUGUAUAUAUUCUUUAGCGAGUGAUAAAUAUUUCAGCAGGACUAGUAUUAGCUUAUACAUUUCCCCUCUAUUCUGCUUAUAGAGGUUAAUCAAAAAUAAAACAGUAAUACUGAUAAUUUAAUAAAACUAAAUUAUUUAAUUCAUCUUUUAAACGAAUUUUGUCUAUCAUUCCCGGAUAUGUAAAAUGAGAACAAAGGAUCCUCUUGAAAUUCUUUCACUGUAACUUUAUUAUGGUCACACGACAUAUUUUUUUAAAACUAAAAAUAUUUAUCGAUUAGAAGUAAUCAUAUUAUUUGUUAGAAAGUAUGAGCUUCAGUCAUCUCUUCCUAUAUGAAUUAUUAAAAGUUAUUUAUUACAAAUGGGACUUCACUAGAGAUCCGUGUUUUUCUAUCUCCAGCUAAUGAAGAACUUGUAGCACUUAUAAAAACCUGCUCUCUACUGUUACUAGAGUUACCGACACAUUUUUUGCUCAAUUUUUAAAUGUAUCGUCACUCUAAAAUGAGAUUAUUUUGCUAAAAACUGUUUAGAAAAUGUAACUUGUUUUUCUGCGCAUAGUAUUUUUUUAAAAACAUACGUUCAUACUUCAUAGUUUGAAAUCAUUUACAUUCACAAUUUGCGCAUUUUCGUGAAUGGCAACGAAUCAUAUUAUCUUUUUUUUUAUUAAAUGUUAUGUCAAUUUUUGCAGCAAGCAUUGAACUUUUUAUGGAUUGAAUAAACAUGAUCACUACACCUUA
rnacentral:sRNA from 1 species